AUUGCUUCUCGGCCUUUUGGCUAAGAUCAAGUGUAGUAUCUUCUGUCCUAUGAAGAAUGAAGAAACUGGAUGAGCUCUUAAGAGAUAAACUAUUAGGAGAUGGCAAGGCUCCUUUCCAUGUUGAAGACUAUACACUAUUAAUUUUGACUUAUUGUAAUGACUUAAAAAGUUUCAUGCUGCCUGCUACAUUUUAUAGAGUAUAGCUUGCCCUUC
ensembl:snRNA U2 U2 spliceosomal RNA